AAUUGCAUCCAGCUGAUUGCUUGUUACUGCUUUUUCAGAUGCAGGGAGAGGAGUCACACAGCAGAGGGUGGUGGAGGAGAGGAGCAGAGCCCGGUGAGGAGCUGGGUCGGUGCGUAUUGAAGAGUCUGGGUGCAAAGCACCGAGGGAAGCGGGAGAUCUGCACUGGAGGUGACUCGAGCAAGGCAGCACACAGGGCUGGACGUGGCACCCUGUGACCAUCAGAGGCCGGACAGGUGAGCCACGAAGUUUUGCAGCCUUGGAGCAGUGGAGCAGCAUGCCAACGGGCCAUCUGUGGAGAUGACACAGGCAUCAGCCAGAUGCUACAAGCAAGGAUGGCCUCAGCAUCUGAUUCUGGAACCAGCAG